rnacentral:rRNA from 1 species
CAUAGGUUAAUGAGGCGAACCGGGGGAACUGAAACAUCUAAGUACCCCGAGGAAAAGAAAUCAACCGAGAUUCCCCCAGUAGCGGCGAGCGAACGGGGAGGAGCCCAGAGCCUGAAUCAGUGUGUGUGUUAGUGGAAGCGUCUGGAAAGGCGCGCGAUACAGGGUGACAGCCCCGUACACAAAAAUGCACAUAUUGUGAGCUCGAUGAGUAGGGCGGGACACGUGGUAUCCUGUCUGAAUAUGGGGGGACCAUCCUCCAAGGCUAAAUACUCCUGACUGACCGAUAGUGAACCAGUACCGUGAGGGAAAGGCGAAAAGAACCCCGGCGAGGGGAGUGAAAAAGAACCUGAAACCGUGUACGUACAAGCAGUGGGAGCCUCUUAAUGGGGUGACUGCGUACCUUUUGUAUAAUGGGUCAGCGACUUAUAUUCUGUAGCAAGGUUAACCGAAUAGGGGAGCCGAAGGGAAACCGAGUCUUAACUGGGCGUUAAGUUGCAGGGUAUAGACCCGAAACCCGGUGAUCUAGCCAUGGGCAGGUUGAAGGUUGGGUAACACUAACUGGAGGACCGAACCGACUAAUGUUGAAAAAUUAGCGGAUGACUUGUGGCUGGGGGUGAAAGGCCAAUCAAACCGGGAGAUAGCUGGUUCUCCCCGAAAGCUAUUUAGGUAGCGCCUCGUGAAUUCAUCUCCGGGGGUAGAGCACUGUUUCGGCAAGGGGGUCAUCCCGACUUACCAACCCGAUGCAAACUGCGAAUACCGGAGAAUGUUAUCACGGGAGACACACGGCGGGUGCUAACGUCCGUCGUGAAGAGGGAAACAACCCAGACCGCCAGCUAAGGUCCCAAAGUCAUGGUUAAGUGGGAAACGAUGUGGGAAGGCCCAGACAGCCAGGAUGUUGGCUUAGAAGCAGCCAUCAUUUAAAGAAAGCGUAAUAGCUCACUGGUCGAGUCGGCCUGCGCGGAAGAUGUAACGGGGCUAAACCAUGCACCGAAGCUGCGGCAGCGACACUAUGUGUUGUUGGGUAGGGGAGCGUUCUGUAAGCCUGUGAAGGUGGCCUGUGAGGGUUGCUGGAGGUAUCAGAAGUGCGAAUGCUGACAUAAGUAACGAUAAAGCGGGUGAAAAGCCCGCUCGCCGGAAGACCAAGGGUUCCUGUCCAACGUUAAUCGGGGCAGGGUGAGUCGACCCCUAAGGCGAGGCCGAAAGGCGUAGUCGAUGGGAAACAGGUUAAUAUUCCUGUACUUGGUGUUACUGCGAAGGGGGGACGGAGAAGGCUAUGUUGGCCGGGCGACGGUUGUCCCGGUUUAAGCGUGUAGGCUGGUUUUCCAGGCAAAUCCGGAAAAUCAAGGCUGAGGCGUGAUGACGAGGCACUACGGUGCUGAAGCGACAAAUGCCCUGCUUCCAGGAAAAGCCUCUAAGCAUCAGGUAACAUCAAAUCGUACCCCAAACCGACACAGGUGGUCAGGUAGAGAAUACCAAGGCGCUUGAGAGAACUCGGGUGAAGGAACUAGGCAAAAUGGUGCCGUAACUUCGGGAGAAGGCACGCUGAUAUGUAGGUGAAGCGACUUGCUCGUGGAGCUGAAAUCAGUCGAAGAUACCAGCUGGCUGCAACUGUUUAUUAAAAACACAGCACUGUGCAAACACGAAAGUGGACGUAUACGGUGUGACGCCUGCCCGGUGCCGGAAGGUUAAUUGAUGGGGUUAGCGGUAACGCGAAGCUCUUGAUCGAAGCCCCGGUAAACGGCGGCCGUAACUAUAACGGUCCUAAGGUAGCGAAAUUCCUUGUCGGGUAAGUUCCGACCUGCACGAAUGGCGUAAUGAUGGCCAGGCUGUCUCCACCCGAGACUCAGUGAAAUUGAACUCGCUGUGAAGAUGCAGUGUACCCGCGGCAAGACGGAAAGACCCCGUGAACCUUUACUAUAGCUUGACACUGAACAUUGAGCCUUGAUGUGUAGGAUAGGUGGGAGGCUUUGAAGUGUGGACGCCAGUCUGCAUGGAGCCGACCUUGAAAUACCACCCUUUAAUGUUUGAUGUUCUAACGUGGGCCCCUUACCGGGGUUGCGGACAGUGUCUGGUGGGUAGUUUGACUGGGGCGGUCUCCUCCUAAAGAGUAACGGAGGAGCACGAAGGUUGGCUAAUCCUGGUCGGACAUCAGGAGGUUAGUGCAAUGGCAUAAGCCAGCUUGACUGCGAGCGUGACGGCGCGAGCAGGUGCGAAAGCAGGUCAUAGUGAUCCGGUGGUUCUGAAUGGAAGGGCCAUCGCUCAACGGAUAAAAGGUACUCCGGGGAUAACAGGCUGAUACCGCCCAAGAGUUCAUAUCGACGGCGGUGUUUGGCACCUCGAUGUCGGCUCAUCACAUCCUGGGGCUGAAGUAGGUCCCAAGGGUAUGGCUGUUCGCCAUUUAAAGUGGUACGCGAGCUGGGUUUAGAACGUCGUGAGACAGUUCGGUCCCUAUCUGCCGUGGGCGCUGGAGAACUGAGGGGGGCUGCUCCUAGUACGAGAGGACCGGAGUGGACGCAUCACUGGUGUUCGGGUUGUCAUGCCAAUGGCACU